rnacentral:rRNA from 1 species
GAUGAACGCUGGCGGCGUGCCUAAUACAUGCAAGUCGAGCGAACAGACGAGGAGCUUGCUCCUUUGACGUUAGCGGCGGACGGGUGAGUAACACGUAGGUAACCUACCUAUAAGACUGGGAUAACUUCGGGAAACCGGAGCUAAUACCGGAUAAUAUUUCGAACCGCAUGGUUCGAUAGUGAAAGAUGGCUUUGCUAUCACUUAUAGAUGGACCUGCGCCGUAUUAGCUAGUUGGUAAGGUAACGGCUUACCAAGGCAACGAUACGUAGCCGACCUGAGAGGGUGAUCGGCCACACUGGAACUGAGGCACGGUCCAGACACCGACGGGAGGCAGCAGUAGGGAAUCUUCCGGAAUGCGGGAAAGCCUAACGGAGCAACGCCGCGUGAGUGAUGAAGGUCUUCGGAUCGUAAACCUCUGUUAUUAGGGAAGAACAAACGUGUAAGUAACUGUGCACGUCUUGACGGUACCUAAUCAGAAAGCCACGGCUAACUACGUG